UAAUGUAACACAAUAAAUGAAUCUUUAUAAAGAUAUAAGGGUGAAAUGCAUAUGCAAUGCUCAUGUCAAGACGGUUUACAUUUCUUUCUCAAAAUCCUGUCAUGCUCAAUUUAUAUCACAAUUCUCAAACCAUAACCUUUACCACUGGAAGCACGGGGAAAUUCUCAAACCGGUACAAACUUUCACGAAUAUUUCAUUCGUAGGAAACCGUCAAACGGCACCCAUGUAAACGUAGCCUAUACAAGCGCUACUAUUUCCAUUUUACAGAUAUUUCAUAUGCGGGAAUCGAUACCAAUGUAUAUGCCCGUUUUUUGAGACUUUCAUCCUGGACACACAAGCCAACUUAAUUUGGUGACACACACCUCUUUCCAUCAUUCACUCAUUUUCUCAAAUUCAUAUACAUAUGCAAUGUAUUCCACGAGGAACAAUGUUUAAUGCACAAAUAUGAUCAAUUAGUUUCAAUUCACCUAAUCCUCAUGCAAUUUUUAUAACAAUCAUAGUCAUCCUCCAUUGAUAACCCAAAACAGGUAUUUCUAAACAGAUAUAAAAUCUCCAGUACAGAUAAACUUUCCAAAUUUCAAGGCAAGUGACAAUACAUAUCAAACUCUACCAUCAAUAUCAAUAUCCAUCCAAUUUCACAUUCCCAACAUUAAUUCCAUUUAUUUAUACAAAAUAAAUAUUUGAAACAUUUAAGUCAAAACACCUUUUCUUCCAAAAUUCAAUCCAAGUAUCACUAUCAACAAUUUUAUCACCACUUAAUCUCAUUUUCACUCCCACAACCAUUUCCAUACAACCAUUUGAAAACCCCUCUUUUGAUUUUAAACCAAAACCCUAGGUUUGUUUAAAAUUCUCCAAAACCACAAGAUUGUUUUAUAAAAACAAAUAGCUAAGUUAAAAAUCAUAAAAGAGUGCAGAAAAUCCCUACCUCAAAGCUAGAAGACCAAGAAGAAAAUGAAGAAACCUUAAGGAAGCCGAAAUCCAACUUUGCUUGGAUGAAAACGAAGCUCGAAGUGAGGUCUACCUUUUCCUCAAAGGGAGUAGGGUAAAGAAAUCAAUGGAUCCAAGUGUUUUAAAAGAUAGAAGGUGAAUUGUAGAGAGAGAGGGUCUCAACUUAGGGUUUAGAAAGUUUAGAGAAUGAGAUAUAAAAAAAGUGAUGUAAAAUGACCUUUUAUGAAAUAAGUUGUUUCAUUCGAGCGCAAGAAGCUUCGCUUGAAUGCAGAAUACACACUUCUAAAAGUUUUACAGACAGAAGACCGUCGUUCGAGCACAAAAAGUUUCGCUCAAGCGAAGAACACUACCUCCCUAGUAUCUCUGCAAGCCUGCAAAAGUACUGAGAACUCAAAAAGCUCACUCGAGCACAAAAAGUUUCGCUCAAGCGAAGAGGCCAAAUUCUGGACAACAAUAGUUUGAACCAACUAGUAACCGACCUGUUCCAAACACAACCAAGACACUCCAAUACUCAAACUCAAUGAGAAAUAAGUAGAAACAUGGUAUGAAUAUCUAAAUAAGACAAAUGAAACCCAAAUUCAAAACAUCAACGGGUCGGGUCUAAAUUAGGAACUCUAUAACCUCCCCCUCUUAAAAAAUUUCAUCCCUGAAAUUUAAAAUCAAAUGUUAAAAUCAUGUUUAAACCAAUUACAACAAUGAUAGUCAAUCAAUUCCAACAUCAUGACCCAUCCACUGGUCAUUCAUUCUCAUCAACAUGAUAAACAAGUUUUCAAUACUGAAUAUACAAUUCAUAUUUCCAAAACAUAUACAAUGUUAAGGAAUUGAAUUAACAAUCAAAUAUGAAUUAAAUAGUGUGGUCCAAGGAUUAUGAUUAUUGUUAUGUGGUCCCAAUGAGUUUGAGUUUUGUAAUGUAAUAUUGUGAAAUUUUGUUGUUUUCUGCAGUGAAGUAAAAAAAAAAAAAAAAAUUUGUUUUUUGAGAUCAACUAUAAUGGGUACUUCAAUACGCCUCCUAAUAUUAGUUAUAAACAAGGGAAAGUAGAAUCUAUAUAUGAUGUUGAUCUUGACAAACUAUCUCUUUUAUAGAUUCAUACCAUCUCAAGGGAGAUGAAAAUAGAUGUCCAUAGUACUUCUAUUUUGUGGUAUAGGAAACUUGGAAAAACUUUGGAUGAUGGGUUAACGAUAAUUGAAGAAGAUGUUGAUGUAUAUAACCAUGAUAUGUGAUGAUGAAGGUUUAGAUAUGAUUAAAUUAUUUGUAGAGAAGGGUCAGGAACCAUUACAAGUGAUAAGUCCAAAAGGGAAACAUUUGGUACCCCCAAGGGUACCAGUUACUAUUAAGCAGGCACUGACUUGGCAUGAGAUGGAAAAUAUAAGUAAAGAAGAGAUGGAUUGUGGAGAUGGAGUGCAAGAUGUAGGUGAUGAGGAAAUGCAUAAUGGAGAUGGGGAUGAAGGAGUAGCAGAUGAAGAUGUCAGAGAUGAGGAAAGGGAUAAUAAAGCUUGGGAUGAAGAAGAUAGUGAUGAUCCUGAUUACAUUAAUGAUGGGAAUUAUGAUGGUGGUUUAGAAGAUGAAGACUAUGAAAGUGAUGAACCUGGCUGGUUGAAUGAGGGUUUAGAGGGGCAAAAAGAUGAUGAUAGUUUCUCACUAAGGGAGACUGUAAAUAAAAGAAAGAGGUAACCUCCUUUAUGUGAUCAAGGGGCAGAUGAAGGGUGGUAUUCUGAUCCUGAGGAUGAAGAUUUACACAAUGUACAUAACUCAUUAGAUGAGGAAUGUGAAGAUAAAUAGCCUGAGUUAAUUGAGGAAGUAGAUAUGAAGAAGCCAUAACUCAAACUUGGAAUGAAGUUUGCCAUCCCUCAAAUUUUUAGAAAGGCAAUGAAAGAGUGGAAUAUCCAACAUGGUUAUGACAUAAAGUACAUACGAAAUGACAACUCUAGGAUUACUGUAGAAUGCAAGCAUGGAUGUGGAUGGAGAUUGCAUGCUUCUCCCAUGGAAGGUGAGAACUUUUCAGAUAAAAUCAUUCCAGCUAAAGCAUGUAUAUGGAAGGUCAUAUAAUAAUCACUUGGUGAACUCAAAUUGCUUGGCACAUAAGUAUAUGGACAAGUUAAGGGAUGACCCUAACAUCAAAGUUGGGCCUAUGCAGAAGACAGUUUGGAGGGAGUCCAUCCCAAGUCCAAGCUUUUUAAGCAAAAAAGAAGUAACCAGCAGCAACAACAAUAACAAUUGCAACAGUAACAGCAUCUUAAGUAGCCUAAACCUCCAAUUUCAUUUCAUUUUGUAGUACAUUCUACAACAAUGACAUACAGAUAUAAAUCAUUGUAGCCCAAAAGGAAGUUCCCUAGUAGGAGGGCCAACACAUCCUCAUAUCAAGUAAGAUCUGUCCACUUUGCAUACUUGUUACAUCAUUGCAGCCCAGUUCUAUUAUUGAUUUGCAUACUUGUUACAUCGUUGCAGCCCACUAGGGUUGGUCACACAUUUGAAGAAUUUCCAAGUAUGAGAGGCAACACAUCAGCAUCUCAGCCCACUAGAGUUCAAUACAGUUCUCUAGAAUUUGAUAACUCAUCAUCUCAGCCCAGGAUUACUGAAGUUGGCCGAAAUUCUCCACAUUUCCCAACUUGGAUGGGCAACACAUCUUCAUCUCAGCCCACUAGUUAUGGCAGAGGAAGGGGUGGACAUGUUUGAGGUGGCAGAGUUAUGUUCAGAUCUGCAUUGGGAGGUAGCUUCACAACAAGAGGUAGAUAAGGAGGUGAGUCUGCAAAAGCUAUAACUCAGAUACAA